rnacentral:rRNA from 1 species
UAGACUUGACAUCCCUUGCAUAACUCAGAGAUGAGUGAAGUCCUUCGGGACAAGGUGACAGGUGGUGCAUGGUUGUCGUCAGCUCGUGUCGUGAGAUGUUGGGUUAAGUCCCGCAACGAGCGCAACCCUUAUCAUUAGUUGCUACCAUUAAGUUGAGCACUCUAGUGAGACUGCCCGGGUUAACCGGGAGGAAGGUGGGGAUGACGUCAAAUCAUCAUGCCCCUUAUGUCUAGGGCUACACACGUGCUACAAUGGUGAGUACAAAGAGAUGCAAUACCGCAAGGUGGAGCCAAACUCAAAAACUCAUCCCAGUUCGGAUUGUAGGCUGCAACUCGCCUACAUGAAGCCGGAGUUGCUAGUAAUCGCGAAUCAGCAUGUCGCGGUGAAUACGUUCCCGGGCC